UGGGAGGUAAAUUUCUCCUAAGGCUAAAUAACGGCGAGAGACCGAUAGCGAACAAGUACCGUGAGGGAAAGACGAAAAGAACUUUGAGAAGAGAGUUAAACAGUACGUGAAAUUGUUGAAAGGGAAACGAUUGAAGCCAGUCGUACCUAUGGGUAAUCAGCCUUUUGGGUGUGAUUUUGUGGAGCGUGAGGAGUUAAACGCCUUCAUGCCUGCAUAUUCGUGCACUUUGGGUGUACUUGCCCGUGUGUAAGUUAACAUCAAUUUUGGUGGUCAUAAAAUGGCUGGAGGAAUGUAGCUUCGAUCUUGUAUUGAAGUGUAUAGCCUUCGGCAGAUGUGACGAUCGGGAUUGAGGAUUGCAACGGAUACCCUUCGGGGCUACCUGCCUGAUCUCUGAUUGUUGCUCUGGUGCCGAAAGCUUGCUUACGGUUAUCAAAGUCGAUUGUCAAUAGGUUAGGACGGGUUAAAUUCGUUAAGGAUGUUGACGUAAUGGCUUUAAACGACCCGUCUUGAAACACGGACCAAGGAGUCUAACAUAUAUGCGAGUGUUAGGGUGAAUAAACCCUUACGCGUAAUGAAAGUAAUUUUGGUGGGAUCACUUUUGUGCACCAUCGACC
rnacentral:rRNA from 1 species